AUGUCUCUCGCAAGCUCCAGCGCCACCUCGCGGAUGCUGAGCCGAGCGCGUGUGGAGAUGCCUAUCUUCGUCUGUCUGUGGUGCCAGGCGAGCAUUGAUUGGAGGGUUUCUCACACACCGAGGAACCAGAAUCAUCCGUUCUAUUUGUGCAGCGAGAAUGGGGUGACAUGCUUCUUUCUUUGGGUCGAUGCUCUGGCCAAGACUCUGAUAAAUGAACUGCAAGAAGAGCAUGAAGAAUGGUUGCACAUGCUGCCCUGAACCGCAGUGGCCGCAUCACGAGCUUUGGAAGAAGAGAUGGAGGGCGAAGCACGCACUGACAGAGAGCUAGCUGUUGAGCUUAGGAUGUUGAAGAAGAAGGUUAGAAAGCUUGAAGAUCAAGCACUACCAAUACCCAUUUGCAAAUACUUUUGGGCAUUUGUAGGUAUAGUAAUCGCACUGGUUGUAAUGUUGAAAAUGUAUGGAAAGGCAUGCAUUAUGGAGGAAUUUGUAAUCUUGAAAUUGUAUGAGAAAUUCACCUAG
rnacentral:rRNA from 1 species